rnacentral:rRNA from 1 species
AAUCAACGCUGGCGGCGUGCCUAACACAUGCAAGUCGAACGCGAAAGCCCCGCAAGGGGCAAGUAGAGUGGCAAACGGGUGAGUAACGCGUGGGUGACCUGCCUUCGAGCGGGGGAUAACGUUCCGAAAGGGACGCUAAUACCGCAUAACAUCCUGCCCUUGAACGGGUGGCGAUCAAAGCUGGGGAUUCGCAAGAACCCGGCACUUGAAGAGGGGCCCGCGUCUGAUUAGCUAGUUGGGAGGUAC